rnacentral:rRNA from 1 species
AAUCAACGCUGGCGGCGUGCCUAACACAUGCAAGUCGAACGCGAAAGUCCCGCAAGGGGAUUAGUAGAGUGGCAAACGGGUGAGUAACACGUGGGUGACCUGCCUUCGAGCGGGGGAUAACGUCCCGAAAGGGACGCUAAUACCGCAUAACAUCCUGCCUUUUAAGAGGUGGAGAUCAAAGCCGGGGAUUCGCAAGAACCUGGCACUUGAAGAGGGGCCCGCGCCUGAUUAGCUAGUUGGUGGGGUAANGGCCUACCAAGGCAACGAUCAGUAUCCGGCCUGAGAGGGCGGACGGACACACUGGGACUGAGACACGGCCCAGACUCCUACGGGAGGGCAGCAGUGGGGAAUUGUUCGCAAUGGGCGCAAGCCUGACGACGCAACGCC